AUCUGGUUGAUCCUGCCAGGGGCGACCGCCUUGGGAGUUCGAUUAAGCCAUGCGAGUAGAAAGAAAUUAUAUUCUUUGCAUACUGCUCAAUAGCACCUGGAUAACCUGCCCUACUCUGGGGGAUAAUCUCGGGAAACUGAGGAUAAUACCCCAUUCACCACUACACCUGGAACGGUGAGUGGUUGAAAGCUCAAGGGGUGUAGGAUGGGUCUGCGGCGUAUCAGGUCGUAGGGGGUGUAAUGGACCUCCUAGCCAUCGACGCGUACGGGUUGUGGGAGCAAUAGCCCGGAGACGGAUUCUGAGACACAAAUCCGGACCCUACGGGGUGCAGCAGGCGCCUAAACUUCACACUGCAGGAAACUGUGAUGAGGGAACUCCUUCUGACUGCGGAUGUGUAGCCUUUUCUUGAAUUUUAAUAGUUCUUGGAAUAAGGGCUGGGAAAGACCGGUGCCA
rnacentral:rRNA from 1 species